rnacentral:rRNA from 1 species
ACCUACCCUUACCUAGUAGUAGAAGAAUACCGGCCGGAACGAAGGCGGUUAAUGCUCUAUGUUGUAUUUAGAGGACAUCUGAAGAAUACCAAAGGUUUUACCGCUAUAGGAUGGGGAUGCGUCUGAUUAGGUAGUAGGCGGGGUAACGGCCCACCUAGCCGACGAUCAGUAGGGGUUCUGAGAGGAAGGUCCCCCACAUUGGAACUGAGACACGGUCCAAACUCCUACGGGAGGCAGCAGUGAGGAAUAUUGGUCAAUGGACGGAAGUCUGAACCAGCCAAGUAAGCGUGCAGGAUGACGGCCCUAUGGGUUGUAAACUGCUUUUAUAUAGGGAUAAAGUCGGGGACGUGUCCCCGUUUGUAGGUACUAUAUGAAUAAGGACCGGCUAAUUCCGUGCCAGCCGCUGC